UCUAUAUGAUGAUAUAUAUAGUCUGGCCUGCCCACUGAUGUAAAUAUUGAAGGGCCGCAGUAUACUGACUGUGCAAAGGUAGCAUAAUCAUUAGUCUUUUAAUUGAAGGCUUGAAUGAACGGUCGGACGAGAAAUAAACUGUCUUUUUUAUAAUUUUUGAAUUUAACUUUUAAGUGAAAAGGCUUAAAUUUUUUUAGGGGACGAUAAGACCCUAUAAAUCUUUACAUUCGCUUUUUUAUUAUACUUUUUUAUAAGUAUAUAGUUAAUAAUUAGAACGAAUGUUUCGCUGGGGCGGUGUAAAUAAAUUAUGUAACUGUUUAAAAAGAUUACAAUGAUUUUUGGUUUAUUUUAAAAGGUCCUAUUUAUAGAUUUAAAGAUAAAGUUACUUUAGGGAUAACAGCGUUAUUUCUUUUAAGAGUUCAUAUCUAAAAAGAAGUUUGCGACCUCGAUGUUGAAUUAAAAUUUCUUCAUGGUUGCAGAAGCUAUGAUAGAAAGUCUGUUCGACUUUUAAAUUUUUACA
rnacentral:rRNA from 1 species